ACGGAAGGCAGCAGUGAGGAAUAUUGGUCAAUGGGCGCGAGCCUGAACCAGCCAAGUAGCGUGAAGGAUGACUGCCCUCUGGGUUGUAAACUUCUUUUGUUCGGGAAUAAAGGAGCCUACGCGUAGGCUUUUGCAUGUACCGUUCGAAUAAGCAUCGGCUAAUUCCGUGUCAGCAGCCGCGGUAAUAUGGAAGAUGCGAGCGUUAUCCGGAUUUAUUGGGUUUAAAGGGAGCGUAGGCGGUCCUUUAAGUCAGCGGUCAAAGGUCAGCGCCCAACGCUGGCCUGCCGUUGAUACUGGAGGACUUGAAUACACACAAGGAAGGUGGAAUUCGUCGUGUAGCGGUGAAAUGCUUAGAUAUGACGAAGAACUCCGAUUGCGAAGGCAGCCUUCUGGAGUGCGAUUGACGCUGAGGCUCGAAAGCGCGGGUAUCAAACAGGAUUAGAUACCCUGGUA
rnacentral:rRNA from 1 species